UGCCCCAGUAGCGGCGAGUGAAGCGGCAAGAGCUCAGAUUUGAAAUCGUGUUUCGGCACGAGUUGUAGAGUGUAGGCGGGAGUCUCUGUGGAGCGCGGUGUCCAAGUCCCUUGGAACAGGGUGCCUGAGAGGGUGAGAGCCCCGUAGGGUGCUGCGCGAAGCUUUUGAGGCCCUGCUGACGAGUCGAGUUGUUUGGGAAUGCAGCUCCAAGCGGGUGGUAAAUUCCAUCUAAGGCUAAAUAUUGGCGAGAGACCGAUAGCGAACAAGUACUGUGAAGGAAAGAUGAAAAGCACUUUGAAAAGAGAGUGAAACAGCACGUGAAAUUGUUGAAAGGGAAGGGUAUUGGGCUCGACAUGGGGGGUGCGCACCGCUGUCUCUUGUAGGCGGCGCUCUGGGCGCCCUCUGGGCCAGCAUCGGUUCCUGCUGCGGGAGAAGGGGCUCCGGAAAGUGGCUCUUCGGAGUGUUAUAGCCGGGGCCAGAUGCCGCGUGUGGGGACCGAGGACUGCGGCUUCUGUCUCGGAUGCUGGCAUAACGGCGCAAUACCGCCCGUCUUGAACACGGACCA
rnacentral:rRNA from 1 species